rnacentral:lncRNA from 1 species
GUGUCCUUUUUGAACUUGCCCGCAUACAUUACGGAUGAGGAGAUAGAAGAGAAACUAAAAGGCUGGAAGGUGAAGGCGACCACGCCAAUCAAGAGGAGGAUGUGGCCAGGAACGGACAUUGUAGAUGGGACAAGAUUUUGCAAGGACCUGAGCCCUAGGACCAUGCCUCAGGACUACCUGGUAUGAUGACUCCUUGCUGUCCCCAGUCCACCUGGCCGUGCUGCUGCUCCAGUUUCAACUGUUCUGCCUGCGGCUAUGGAACCCUGACCUGUUCACCGGACGUGCUUGUUGCACCCUCGACAACUACUAUGAUUAUUAUUAUUUGACCAUGCUGGUCAUUUAUGAACAUUUUAACAUUUUAACAUUUUGACCAUGUUCUGUUUUAAUAUCCACCCUGCACAGCCAGAAGAGGACUGGCCACCCCUCAUAGCCUGGUUCCUCUCUAGGUUUCUUCCUAGGUUUUUGGCCUUUCUAGGGAGUUUUUCCUAGGGAGUUUUUCCUAGCCACCGUGCUUCUUUCACAUGCUUUGCUUGCUGUUUGGGGUUUUAGGCUGGGUUUCUGUACAGCACUUUGAGAAUAUCAGCUGAUGUACGAAGGGCUAUAUAAAAAUAAAUUUGAUUUGAUUUGAUAAUGUGUAAAAUUAAUUGUGAGAUAGAAAGGGAAUGCGACGUAUGUGGACGUUUCCCGGAAAC